GGCUCUGGCCCUAUCAGCCUGAAGGCGCCCGAUCUCGUCUGAUCUCGGAAGCUAAGCAGGGUCGGGCCUGGUUAGUAUCUUGGAUGGGAGACCACCUGGGAAUCCUGGUGCUCGAGGCU
ensembl:rRNA 5S_rRNA 5S ribosomal RNA